rnacentral:rRNA from 1 species
UGGGGAAUAUUGGACAAUGGGCGAAAGCCUGAUCCAGCCAUGCCGCGUGUGUGAAGAAGGUCUUCGGAUUGUAAAGCGCUUUAAGUUGGGAGGAAGGGUUGUAGAUUAAUACUCCGCAAUUUUGACGUUACCGACAGAAUAAGCACCGGCUAACUCUGUGCCAGCAGCCGCGGUAAUACAGAGGGUGCAAGCGUUAAUCGGAAUUACUGGGCGUAAAGCGCGCGUAGGUGGUUUGUUAAGUUGGAUGUGAAAGCCCUGGGCUCAACCUGGGAACUGCAUUCAAAACUGACAAGCUAGAGUAUGGUAGAGGGUGGUGGAAUUUCCUGUGUAGCGGUGAAAUGCGUAGAUAUAGGAAGGAACGCCAGUGGCGAAGGCGACCACCUGGACUGAUACUGACACUGAGGUGCGAAAGCGUGGGGAGCAAACAG